rnacentral:rRNA from 1 species
CGAAGUUUCCCUCAGGAUAGCUGGCGCUCGGUCCUCCGUCGCAGACGGAGGGAGGCGACUCUGUCGCCCUUUUCAUAGUUUCAUCUGGUAAAGCGAAUGACUAGGGGUGUUUGGGGACGAAAUGUCCUCAGCCCAUUCUCAAACUUUAAAUGGGUGAGAUGUUCUCCGGGCUUUCUUGAUUGAAGCCCCGGAGUUGAAUUGAUGAGCUGCUUAGUGGGCCACUCUUGGUAAGCAGGACUGGCGCUGUGGGAUGAACCAAAAGCCUGAGUUAAGGGGCCUAAGUGGAUGCUAAUUCCGAUCCCGUGGAAGGGAGUUGCUUGCUAUAGACAGCAGGACGGUGGCCAUGGAAGUUGGAAUCCGCUAAGGAGUGUGUAACUACUCACCUGCCGAAGCAAGUAACCCCGAAAAUGGCAUGGCGCUAAAGCAUCCCCCCGAUACUCGGCCGUCGGGCGCAAUAAGGUUGCAGUGCUCUGUGAGCACGAGGAGGCCUCGAAGCCCCGACGAGUAGGAGGGCGCGACGGUGUGCAGAGAAGGACGUUAUAGGCGAGAGCCCGUCCGGAGCCGCCGUCGAUGCAGAUCUCGGUGGUAGUAGCAA